CAGAAUGAGGCAGACAAUUGUCAUUCUGGAUAAUUUAUUUAGUCCUUUAGAACAAAAUUUUCUUCAAAUAACACUUUCACAUCUCUCAUUUCUGCAAAACUAAAACUACAUACAAAGAAAGAAUAGCAAUACUUUAAUUCAAACAAUCAUAUAAUUGUUGAUAAUUUCAUAAAGUGAAGAAUAGCGAUAUUGCAAGACAGAAUAAAGAGUCAUACAUGUACCGUGGUGUGUUUAGGUAUACUCUAUUACUGCCAUAAUAUCAUAGUGAGAUUAAACUUAAUCCUUCAUCAGCUCGUGAAACAUAGACCAUCUAGUACUUUAAAUCUUCUGCAAAUCUCGCAUUCACCCUCGUAACAGUUAAACUCACUCUCUUAAGCGACCCAAAUUUAAAUUGCAACACAUAUAUUUCACUUGUAAAGGAGAUCUUCUAACAGACAACAUAAGGAUCACACAACUUCAGAACACUCCACAGGGGAUAACCCACCUGCUUCGCCUCAAACUAACAUUUCUGUAUACCUUCCACCGUCAUAAACAUUGCGCAAUCACUUAAUUUUCCUGAGUCUGAACUCAUACCGCAACAUGAAAUUUACUUCACUCCUAACUAGAAAACAUGAGAAGGUUCUUCACACACCCAUAACUCGGGGUUAUUCCUCAAAUCAAGAUGGAAAUCAAGCACCUAAUAGUCCUUCUAUCCUCCAGCAGACCCUUCUCGUCACUUCCAAAUCAUAUGAAUACAUCUUGCAGUCAUAACAUACUCAUCACAUCGCCAUCCAGCCAUCACUUCUACUAAUAGGGACACUACCAAACAUAUAAGUUCAAAAACAUGUGUUUACACAAUCAACGCCUCAGUGCUCAAGCUAUAGGCAAAACCCGGCCUCAAGUAGUUCAGACUGGCCCAACAUCAACACACAGAGAUCACAUCUCGCCCUUCGACCAGGGAAUCACAAGCCAUCGAUGCACAUCUGAUACUGAGCGCUCAUGCACGCAUACGAACGCGUGGAAAGAAUUCAAAGAGUCAUAUUUCAAGCUGAAUCAAGGACGCACGACAAGAAUUCAAGAAUGUGAAGUUUUUCCUAAAGGUUCUGCAGCCUCUCGAGGAAAAAUACAAACGUCUCUGUACCGAUCCGCGAGACUCUACUAAAUCUGCUCAUGACUCGUGAGACCUAUGUAACCUAGGCUCUGAUACCAACUUGUCACGAUCCCAAACCGGACCCGGUCGUGAUGGCGCCUCUCGUGAAGACGAGUCCAGUCAACACAAUUCCCAAAUUCAUCGUUAACAAUUUUUAAUAAGUCAAUGUAAGUCAUUCAUAAGAAAUAAAUCUCAAAAUUUAGCGAAAUAGAACAAGUGCGAAAAUAGAUAUAGCCCGACAUCGGGGUGUCACAAGUCACGAGCAUCUACUAAGGUCUAAAUACAAUGGAAAGUCUGAAAAUGUACUAAAUACAGUCUAAUGAAUUCAAGAGGGAGAAGAGCAGUGCUGCGAACGUCGGGCAGCUACCUUGCUAAACUCCGAUGACUCUGCCUCUGAUCAACCAAUACCCACUACCUGGUUCAGAAAUACCUGAAUUUUCACACAAGGUGCAGGGAGUAAUAUGAGUACUCCGACUCAGUGAGUAAUAAUAAUAAAUAAAGACUGAGCGAUAAGAAAUCACGUAAAGGCACGUCAACAGGAUAUAAAGAAGCAGUAAAAAUAAUGCAACAGUGGAAAUAUGUAAAGUCAGUUUAGUUCAGUUUAAGCUUCUUUAGAAAUGCCUUUUUAACAGUUAAACAAUUAAAUGCAAAGUAUCUAGAAAAGAUAAACACAUAAGAAUCUGCCCCUCAGGCACAAUGUCAACAUAAUCCAUUCCUCGGGCAAUAUCAUGGAACAAUCACCAGCCCCUCGGGCUAUAUCUCAUAUCACAAUGGGUAUUCGCGCUCACUGGAGGUGUGCAGACUCCUGGAGGGGCCCCUUACGGCCCAAGCGCAAUAUCAAGCCAUCUCGUGGUAUCAUCACUAGACCCUCGGCCUCAUAUCAACAAGCCACCUCGUGGCGUAAAAAUCUCAGGCCCUCGGCCUCAUAAUCAUAAUCAGUGUUUUCCUCACAACAUAGGCUAUCGGCCUUACUCAGUCAGAAUCUCACAAGCCACUCGGGCAAUAGUAAAACAUGGUGCUCAGCCCAAAAUAUCAUUUAAAAAUAUCAUUUAAGUGCUAAAGCAGAGUAAACAUGGCUGAGUUAUGAAAAUAGUAGAAUAUAACAUGAUUGAGUUCAAGUAUAAAGUCAAAACAGUGAGGAAAUAUCAGUAAAAAUCCCCUAAGGCUUCAAAUAGUUGUCACAAGGCCCAAAUAUGGCAUUCAGCCCAAAACAUGAUGAUAGCAAAUAGUUUUCAAUCAAAUACGUGGUAAAACAGCCAUUCGGGAUGGACUAAGUCAUAAUCCCCAACAGUGCACGACCUCAUGCUCGUCAUCUAGCAUGUGUGUCACCUCAAUAUAGCACAAUGAUUUGCAAUCUGGGGUUUCAUACCCUCAGGACAAUAUUUACAACCAUUACUCACCUCGAUCCAGUCCAACUCUAGCCCGUGAUGCCUUUGCCCUCACGAAUCGACCUCCGGAUGCUCUAAAUCUAGCCACAAUCAGUACAUAACCAUUAAAAUAUGCUAAGAGAACAAAGCCCACUCGAAAAUAUCCAAUUUACAAAAAAAAUCUCGAAAUUGCUCAAACCCGGCCCCCGGGCCGAAGUCUCGCAAUCCGAUAAAAGUCACAUUAAUAGAAUCCCCAUCCUCUCACGAGUCUAUACAUACCAAGAACAUCAAAAUCGAACCUCAAUUGUCCCCUCAAAUUCUCAAUUUACACUCUCCAACUUCAAGCCCUAAUUCCCCAAUGUUAGGCUUUAAUUUCCACAUAUUUCAUGAUUAAACAAGCAAGAAUCAACAUAGGAUCGAGUAUAGAGUUCAAAAAUCUUACCUCCAAGUGUUUCCCUACGAUUCCCUCUUCAAUCCUUCUCAAAAGCUCAAAAAAUAGUUCAACAAUGGAAAAAAUAGACCAAAAAUCGCGAAACCCACUUUUAAAUAUUCUGUCCCAGGCAAAAUACCUUCUUCGCGAACGCGACCGCCCUCUCGCGUUGACGUAGACCAAAUUCACUACCUCUCCACUUUUACCUUUGCGAACGCGAACGAUUCCAUGUGAUCGUGAUGCUUCGCCAUACCAGCCUUUCGCGAACGUGAUACAAGUCUCGCGAACGCAUAGCACAAGGGCUUGGGGUGCCCAACGACCUUACUCCUCUUCGCGAACGCGACCCCAGUCACACGUCUGCGAUGCCCAUGAAGCCUUCACCUUCGCGUUCGCGUCCUUUUCCUCGCGAACCCGUAGAACAAAAUAUCAUCACAUAAAAACACCCUUCGCGAACGCAAGUCCCCGACCGCGAACGCAAAGAACAAUUCAUCUGCAAUAAAAACCAGCAAAAAUUGUCAAGUCCAAAGUCCAAAAUUGAUCUGUUUAACCAUUCGAAACUCACCCGAGGCCCUCGGGACCUCAACCAAACAUUCCAACAAAUCCCAUACCUUCAUUCAAACUUGUACCAACCUUCGGAACGUUCAAAAAAACAUCAAAACACCAAAAUCACAUCGGAUUCAAGCCUAAGAAUCCCAAGAACUUCCAAAUUUCGCUUUCGAUCAAAAAGCCUACCAAACCUCGUCCGAAUGACCUGAAAUUUUUCAAACACGUCACAAAGGACACAACAGACCUACUCCAACUUCCAGAAUUUCAUUCUGACCCUUAUAUCAAAAUCUCACCUAUCAACCGGAAAAUGUCAAAAUCUCAAUUUUGCCAAUUCAAGCCUAAACCUUCCGCGGACCUCUAAAAUACAUUCCGACCAUGCUCCUAAGUCCCAAAUCAUCUAACGGAGCUAACCAAAUCAUAAAAAUUCCAUUCCGAGGUCAUCUACUAACAAGUCAAAUCUUGGUCAAACCUUUCAAAUUUCAAGCUUCAAACUGAGAACUGUUCUUCCAAAUUCAGUCUGAUUACCCUGAAAACCAAAACCGACGAUUUACAUAAGUCAUAAUAUAUCACACGGGGCUAGUCAUGCCCGAGAACUAGCUAGCAAAGUGUAAAAGCUCAAAACGACUGGUCGGGUCGUUACACCUUCUUCCAUCCAUCCUUCUAUCAUCUCUGCUGUAAAGGGAUACUGUGAUUGUUAAGAUUUGAACAUCAUCAUUCCCGACCUAGCGGAGCGGGUAACCUUCUACAAGAAGGGAUUUACGUACGUUUAUACAUACCCCUUCACUUUGGGCACGUUCUUAUUUAUUGGGGGGCUUGACUCUGUUAUCUUGGAGUUUUUCUUUCGUUACCAAGUUUGCUUGGCAUAGGUGGGCCCUUCUCAGUGGCGAACGGUCGCCUAUCUUCGGUGUCUAUGCCAAAGACAGGGGAAGAGCUAUCCUUGGCUCAACUGAUGAACCUUUAUGCCCCCAAGAUUUUCCGUGGGAGAAUAAUAAACUUCAACAAAAACGGUCACCAUGCUUUGCUCACUAGCAUGGACGAUGACAACAACCGUAGAGGGAUAAAGCGGUUUGUUGCAGUUGCCACCAGGGACAACAUCCCUGCCACAACUCCAUCAUUUUCAGAAUCAUGGAACCGUACUCGUAAGUUCAGUGUAUGUCUUCUCUUCUAGUUAAAGAUUGUCCUAUGCUAUUACUGAUCCAUCUUCUAUUAUUUCAGUAACUCGGUGGAUACCACCAAGGGUUGAAGGCUUGGACCAGUGGGUCCAGAAGAUAUUGGAUGUCAAUAUGCCUGAAACCCACCGUUGGAAAGAACUAGCCCUUAAAUAUGGGUGGAAGGCCAAAAAACAUGAUAGGUUGAACUUAUCUUGUUUUUACUUUACGUAUAGGAAAACUAGUUAACUUUUCUUUCCGGUUGAAUUCAGGUCUUCCGCAGGACUCUAUUACCGUCAUCGGGGAGGAUGUUUGGUUGAUCCUGCUGAUGCGGUAAGGUUGUUGUAGGAGACUUUCACCCGAACGAGUGUCAUCAUGCUUGCUUCCUCUUGGAGUCCCCGGUCGGAGAACAAGCAACAAAAAAGGCGACGUUCCACCAUAGCCGAGGGAAAAAAAUAAAAACCACAGACAUUGUGGUGAUUGGUGAUGAUGGAAGAGCAGUGAUGAAGGGGCUUCCCUAUAUAAAAGACGACGACUUUUGUUGAUCUGGUUACACUAACCGAGGACGACAUCCAAGCGCUCUAGGGGUAUGAGGUUAUUGUUCCUAGUGCCGUGAGGUUGGGUACUAGGUCUAUUCCGUCUUUGGCUGAUGAGCAUACCAACAAAUAUCACUUCUUUUUCUGCAACUACUUCUCAAACUAUAAUGCCAUCAACUCCAUCUCCCAUUUGGCCAAUUUUGCCUUCGCCACCAACAACUGCUAUAUCAUGUCCACCGGCCGCAGUCGUCCAAGAGGAGGAUUUCCCUCUUCCCCAGUACUAGUUCAUGGAAAUUUGGGACAUAACUAUUAUGCCCCCUCCAAAGAUUUUCAUAGAAGGAGGAGUAUUUCCUUCUCGGUUCUUACUGGAUGCCAUCUGUUGUCCCGAUCGGUGGAACUUUCUAAUUAUCUGAAGCCUCUAGCUUUAGAGAAAUAUAGGAAUAAAAUACAGUCUCUCUCGGGAGAGUGUAUGGUGAAUAAUGACAUGAACAUUGCAACAUCGGUACGAUAUUUGUUCCCUCUGUUGUUACUUCUAUAUUUGUUAUGGAAGGGUUUUUAAUUCGUACUCUGUUUCGCAUGCUAACUUCCUUGCUUUCGAGGGCCUUCAGAAGUUGAUCCUUGACAAAGAGAAACUCACCUAUGAGUGGGAUUAGUUGUUGGCCAAGCGGGAUCAAAUUGUUGCUCGCCUCCUGGAACUGGAAGCACAAGCCACUGAGGCCGUUGAGUUAGAGGAUCGGAUGCAGCAAAGCGAGCAAGAGGUAGUGACCUUUGGCCAAGAGGCUACCUUGUUAAGGGCAUAAUUUGAAGAAGCUAAGGCAAAGUGGGUUGAGGUCCAAAAUUCCGUUCUGGCUGCUACCGAUCUCGAGGAUGCGUCUACUGAAAGACUAAAUAAUUUGGAGGUAGCCUUGAACUCCAAAGCUAAAGAAGUUGUUGUUUCUGAGGAGGAGUAUGCCAGGAUGGAGGAGAAGCAUAGGAAGGUCAUGGAACACAAUAAUGUUUACAACUCCACUAUCCGUAAACUCAACGUCAGCCUUCAAGCCAUUAGGUAUGAGAGGAAUAACUUCUCGACCGAGGUUAACCAGCUUAAGGAAGAGCUUCAGCGUGGUGUAGCUUCCCUCAUUGUUUAAAAAACACUCUCUAUGUAUAACAUGUGGAGAAAAACCUUGGAAGAGGCCAAAACGGGUGUCACUGAUUAUUAUGCCGAGAUCGCCAAGGCCCGUGAGCUGGAGUUAACUGCCCGAAGGGGCCUUCCGGUCCAACAUGAUGCGACUGAUUCCUUUUGCUCCAGUUUCGAGUUCUCGGGAACUGAAGAAGAACUUAAAGAGGAUGAUGUUGAAGGUUAAGACCUCGAGCCGGCGAUAGAUCUACCUACUUCUCAUGGGGCACGGAUGGUUCUCUUCCCCCGGAUUUUGGGGAUGCAGUAGUUUAACUUUUUACUUAUUCUCCUUUUUUGUUUUUUACUUUAUACUUUUGUAAUUGUGAUGCUUGGCACGUUAUUAUAUAGAAGUACUUUUCAUUUAAGUAUUGCGCAAGGUUUUCUUAUUGUGUCAAAUUAUGCAAGGCUUUGGGUGCAUUUUUCCCCGAUAGCAUUUGGAUUCCGGACAUAAGUUCUUCUGGAAUCAACCCUUUGCCGUGAGUGUUUCAUAAGAGAUGUCCCUCUUAUAUUUACGGUGCUCUUGAAGAGGACAUCUCCUAUUCAUUACGGCACUAGCAUUUGAAGUGCUUAUUUAAUUUUCAAAUGAUAAAAUUAAUUUAUCGUUCGGACAAGAAACAAGAUAAAAAUAAAAGGACUUUACUUUAUUCAUUUCAUUUUUAAAAGUACACAAGAAUUCGUUGUGCUAAUAAGAAAUUGCCAUUACUUGUCGCUAAUUUAUACAACUUGUUUCUACAGGGGUGGACGUGAAGUCCCCGACCCCGAUGAUACAGCUUUAUUCUUGAAUUUCGUAAUCCUGGUCGAUGUGGUAGUCAUGUUGUUGUAUUAUUAUAUCAUCCUCCCCCAGUGUUCGAAUGCGAAGAAUGCAAACUUGAACACUGGAAGUCUUGCUCUUUUGAAGAUUCACUAGUGAAUGGUUGGAUAAUCUUUGGUUCGAUAGGAAACCUCGUUUCCCAUUAGGAACUUUACUACAGAUCCAAAAAUUACCUAACCACUCCCUAGUGACUUGCACUCAUGAACGGUCGGGUAACCUUUGGCUAGAUAACAAGCUUUGUUUCUCGUUAAGAACUUCUCUAUCGAGCAAAAGACUAUCUAACCGUUCUGUGUUGUCUCGUUGCUUGUAUGCGUUGUCAUUUAAAGGUCUUACUUCUACUGACGAAGCUUCCUUAGUAGCAUGCUUUCCAGUGCUGCCUCGUUAAAAACCUUGCCAGAAAAAUCCAAUUGGGACAAAAACUGGACGAAGAGAAAAAGAGUGCAGCACAUACUUUCAGUAUAGGCAAUGCUCAUUAGCAAUAGUACCUUUUGAGGUGUGCCACAUUUCAGUUGCUCGGAAACUUUACUCCAUCUUGAUUUUCCAAUUCGUAUGUAUCACACCUCCUUUUUCAACCCGAAAGGGGUAUAAGGGAGUUUUUCCAAUUUAAGUGACAUAAUCGAAAUGAGAUUAUUUUAUUUAUUCAGAGUCGCCACUUGGAAUAGUUUAUGGUGUCCCAAGUCACCGGUUUAUUUUAAAUCCCAAAUCAAGGAAAUUGACUCUUAUUUAUGGUCCACAAAUACAGAAGAUCGGGUAAGGAAUUCUAUUAACUCGGGAGAAGAUGUUAGGCAUUCCCAGGUUCCGUGGUUUUAGCACGGUCGCUCAACUAUUAAUAAUUGGCCUUAUUAUCUGAUUUAUCACAUAUUUUAAACCUAUUGUGCAUUUUUAACUUUAUAACCGCUUUUAUUUAUUUAUGGAUUUAUUUCUGGAACAAGCCACAAUUGUCGUACACUUGUCGUUUUGGUACACAUUACAAACCGUGUCUCAUGAAAUGCACCCGCGAUUUACAACAUGUUCAUUUUUAUUAUUAUUCAAAAUUAUAGUCGGGUCACAUGAAAUGCACACCCAAAUUUGAGAAUUACGUAUCACAACUACAUCACGGAAAUCGUACCCGUAGUUAUGAUGAUUUAUUAUAACGCGCCUAAAGCAAACUACGAAAGUUCAAGGUUAUUCUUAAAACUAAUUUGAGAUUUAAUGUGAGGCUGUGAAUUAGGGAUAUGAAAUAUAGAAAAAUGAGUCAACUUAACAGAGCAUCAAAUCCAUUCACAUCAUCAUUUUUUGUAAAUUGCUCAAAUCUAAUUCCCACAUCAUUAGCGAACAGUGUUAAACAAAUAGUAAUUCAAGCUAUGACUCAAUUGAAUAAAAUGACAGGGUAAAAUAAAUAAUUCAAAACUUAAACGGCAAGCACAUCCGAUGUAAAACCCAGAACGUCAUUCCAACAUUUACUUUAAUGUCAUUUUUAACCCAAACCACUAUUUUUGCUUUAAUCCAUUCCCGAAUCAACUCAUGAACCAUAAAUUAUUUUAGGCAUCUUGUAUCUUAAUUCCAAAUUCAUCACUCCAAUGUACUAAAAUCAAAUGAGAGCACUACAAAGGCAAACAAGGAAAAUUAAAUUAAAAGUUAUGACAAAACUCAAUGCAGAUUCCUUCAAACCACAAGCACUAAAUAGAACACAAAGAUAUCAUGUAUUAAUUAAAGAAAGGAGUGGGAAAAGGACCUCAAAGAGAGCUUUGUCAAUUUAGCAAUGUUGUAUGAAUAGAAACCCGGGCAGAAAAAAUCCUUGGACGCGACGACCUCGACGAACUCAAACUCGACCGUAACGAACCUCAAACCGGCAACCAAAAUCAGCGGACUUCUAAACCUCAAGCAAAUACCAUGAUUUUUAAUACCAAAACCGAAAUCAAAAUGAAGAAGUAGAAGCUCUUUUUAUAUAUAUUUUUUGUAAUUUUAAGCAAACUAAAAUCUGAGUCUGCAACUACAGAAUAUCUUUUGUUUUUGAUCCCCUGUUUUCCCUUCUUUUCUCGUACUCUCUAUCCCUGUUUUGCUACCAUUCGUUACUGCUCUCUCACGCCGUUGCUGCUAGUUUCCGGAAGCGGGUGGUUUUCAGUGGAGGUGUUAGGUUGCUGUGAGGUGAGGAAGAAAGAGAUGGGGUGUAUUGGAGAUAUGGUUGGUGGUUGGAGGGAGGUCGUGUGUGGCUGGUGAGGGGUCAUGUCGAUGGCUGUGUUGUGUCUGUAGAAGAAGAAGGGUCAUUGGUUAUGAGAUGAAGAGGCAGGAAUGGAUCGGAGGGGUCCUCAAGGUUAGAGAUCGCCACUGUUGAUGAAGCUUCCAGUCCCUUCUUUGGCUGCUUAGGUCUUAGUCCUUUUCUUA
rnacentral:lncRNA from 1 species